UACGUAGGGCGCAAGCGUUGUCCGGAAUUAUUGGGCGUAAAGAGCUCGUAGGCGGUCUGUUACGUCCGCUGUGAAAACCCAGGGCUUAACCCUGGGCUUGCAGUGGAUACGGGCAGACUAGAGGCAGGUAGGGGAGAAUGGAAUUCCCGGUGUAGCGGUGAAAUGCGCAGAUAUCGGGAGGAACACCGGUGGCGAAGGCGGUUCUCUGGGCCUGACCUGACGCUGAGGAGCGAAAGCGUGGGGAGCGAACAGG
rnacentral:rRNA from 1 species